CAAAUCCCAUUCCCUGGAAUCCCUGCCCUCUCGUCUCCAAACACCGGCGCUCCCUCCCCACCGCCGCAAUCUGCUUCGCCGGACUACCCCGCCCCUUUUUCCCGCCGUGAUCUGCCCCAUCCCAUCUCCAUACAUCGGCCCCACCUUUCCCUUCACAGAUCUGUGAUCUGCCUCCCACAUUUCUCUUCGCCGCGCACAAGGGUUUUACAAAGAUCCCAGAAAUUUAAUCGUUGCUCUGACACGUAAGAUCCGAUUUUGGGUAGGACAGACGAUAUAACUCUGAUUGCAUAGAAAAAUGACGACGCCUUCUGCAGCAUCAAGAAAUGUGCAAUCACUGCUGCAAUACGUCUCGGUGAUAACGUCGCCGCUCGCCUUUCCCAUCCACCGCCGCCGGACGCAUUUGUCACGCUAAGUCUCGCCGUCGGAGAUCUGCACUCCGGCUGAUUCGCCGCCACAAUCCGCCAUGGUAAGUAUUGUAUUAGGAAAGAUUAAAUUUGACUAUGAUUAGUGCUCAAUUUUAGAAAGAUCAAAUUUUGGAAAGAUUUACCUCUGCGUCAAUAGUCAGUAAAUUUUUAGGGUUUAGAUUUAACAAUGGAAACUUAUUCUAUUAGGAAAGAUUACAUUUGAAUUUAAGGUAAGUCUUAUCAUGGCGGCUUCAGCUGAUUCGUCGACGGGCUGUGAAUUUAUUAUCUUGAUUAGCCAUGGUAAGUAUUUUCUAUUAGGAAAGAUUAUAUUUCAUUAUUAUAAAUAUGGAAUGAUUAGUGUGAAUUUUAGAAAGAAUAAAUUUAGGAAAGAAUCAUUAUGCUAUACGAUUAUAUGAUUUACCUAUCAAUCAAUAAUCAAUCAAUUUUAGAUACAAAUUAACGAUGGAAACUUAAUAAUAUAGGUUUUAGCUAUAAAUUCAUUAGUUCAAAUGAUAAGAAUUUUACAGUCAAUCAACGGUGAUUUGCGGCUUCCACUGUUCGUUCUGGUUCAAGGUAAGCUUAAUUUCUUACUCCCGCUGAUGCCGCCAAGAAGGAGGAGGAGGCUUCCGUCUCUCUGAAAAUAAAUGUGUGUCUGUAAGUAUGUGAUCUGUUAAAAGGGAGGGGUAUAUUGGAGUAUUAUAUAUCAUUGGAGCUUCUAUUUAUAUAAUCUGACAUCUUAAUGCAUUUUUGGCUAUAUUUCAUUAGUUUUGUCUGCUUGACAGUGUGGAUGUUUUCUCUCUCUCAGUUGUAUUUUAUAUAGUUAAUCUUGACUGAUCCUUGCAGGAUAUUCCAGCUCCUGAAAUUCUUCAGGCUUUUGAGCAUGAGAUUGCAAGAGAACUUAUUGGCUGGAUUGAAGAUUGAAGAUACGAGGGAAAAGGAAGAAGAGGAGGAGAAUGAGGAUGAUGAAUGAAGAGAUCAUCUCAGGAUUUAGGGAUUCUACAAUCAAUAAAGCAUGGUUGAAAUGGGAUGAGCAAAUCAUACUGAAGUUUUUGUGAAAUCACAUAAGAAGGAUAAGGGAAAAAAUGGGUUGUAGAGAAGAAAAAGAAGAAGAAGAGGGAAUCAAGGGAUUUGGAUCCAGGUUAAAUAUAGAGCUUACCUCUACAUCCAUGGAGACUCGAGAGUUCGGGGAGACAACAGAACAUAUUGAUGAGGUGAACUCUUCAUUAGAUGGGUUAAAUAAAGGACAAGCAGUGAAGAUUCAGAGGGAAAGUUUUCUAUCAUUGUUAUCAAUUUGCGGAACAUUGUAAAAGAGGCGAUUUUUGUGGGCUCUUGGAUACUCAAUCUUUAAUCUUUCGAUUUUGGUCAUUGUUGUUUUUACAAAGUUACAUGUACGUACAAUUUUUUAUUGUAUGAUUUUUUAGUUGAUGAUGAUUAUGUGA